rnacentral:rRNA from 1 species
UACGAAGGGGGCUAGCGUUGUUCGGAAUCACUGGGCGUAAAGCGCACGCAGGCGGAUCGAUCAGUCAGGGGUGAAAUCCCAGGGCUCAACCCUGGAACUGCCUUUGAUACUGUCGAUCUGGAGUAUGGAAGAGGUGAGUGGAAUUCCGAGUGUAGAGGUGAAAUUCGUAGAUAUUCGGAGGAACACCAGUGGCGAAGGCGGCUCACUGGUCCAUUACUGACGCUGAGGUGCGAAAGCGUGGGGAGCAAGCAGG